rnacentral:misc_RNA from 1 species
AAAUGCGAUAAGUAAUGUGAAUUGCAGAAUUCAGUGAAUCAUCGAAUCUUUGAACGCACAUUGCGCCCGCCAGUAUUCUGGCGGGCAUGCCUGUUCGAGCGUCAUUACAACCCUCAGGCCCCCGGGCCUGGCGUUGGGGAUCGGCGGAAGCCCCCUGCGGGCACAACGCCGUCCCCCAAAUACAGUGGCGGUCCCGCCGCAGCUUCCAUUGCGUAGUAGCUAACACCUCGCAACUGGAGAGCGGCGCGGCUACGCCGUAAAACACCCAACUUCUGAAUGUUGACCUCGAAUCAGGUAGGAAUACCCGCUGAACUUAAGC